GGUGCCUAGCAUAACUACUGUCGCUUGUCAUUCCUCCUCGGCUAAGGAAACAGAAAGCCUCUAGAGUCAAGAUGGCAAUACAUAAGAUCAGGCAAGAACUUGUGAGAUUCCUUCUGUGGGAGUCAGAGUACAUUGGACCUCUCCCUCUGGAGGCUUGGAACCACCACACCCCUGUAACAGCUCAAUAGAGGAAGUGCCUACCAGUCAAAGCCAAGGAGGAAGAUACCUAGUAGAACAAGGGAGCAUGAGCCUGUUUAGAAGUAGAUAUUUCCUUGUUGUCAGCAGCAGCAGUGACUUGAU